UUGACUUCUAAAUGAGAAUUGUUAUGAUUAUCACAUCUGGUCGCGAGGCCAGUGAUGAUUUGAAAGACCUUGGUUCGGACUCUCAGAUUAUCUCCUCAUCAGGCUAAUCACGGUUAUUGACCCGGCACUUUGCCGGGUCUUUUUUUG
rnacentral:sRNA from 1 species